AAAACAUUUGGACCGUCGGUCUACCGAGCAACAUCAACCGCUCGGUGGAAGAUCUUCCUUCAGUCGU
rnacentral:pre_miRNA from 1 species